AACGUACGCUGGCGGCACGCCUAACACAUGCAAGUCGAACGAAGUAGCAAUACUUAGUGGCAGACGGGUGAGUAACAUGUGGGUAUCUACCCUUUGGCCUGGAAUAACACGAGGAAACUUGUGCUAAUACCGGAUAAGUCUUUACGGAGAAAGCUUUAUGCACCAUUGGAUGAGCCCGCACUUGAUUAGUUUGUUGGUAGGGUAAUGGCCUACCAAGACUAUGAUCAAUAGCUGAUUUGAGAGGAUGAUCAGCCACAUUGGGACUGAGACACGGCCCAAACUCCUACGGGAGGCAGCAGUGGGGAAUCUUGCACAAUGGAGGAAACUCUGAUGCAGCGAUGCCGCGUGAGUGAAGAAGGCCUUUGGGUUGUAAAGCUCUUUCGUCGGGGAAGAAAAUGACUGUACCCGAAUAAGAAGGUCCGGCUAACUUCGUGCCAGCAGCCGCGGUAAUACGAAGGGACCUAGCGUAGUUCGGAAUUACUGGGCUUAAAGAGUUCGUAGGUGGUUGAAAAAGUUGGUGGUGAAAUCCCAGAGCUUAACUCUGGAACUGCCAUCAAAACUUUUCAGCUAGAGUAUGAUAGAGGAAAGCAGAAUUUCUAGUGUAGAGGU
rnacentral:rRNA from 1 species